CACCAGUCAGCGGAGGCAAAGAGGGGACGUGAAGACCAAAGAAGAUCGGGCUGCAAACGUGUCUGAUCACCUGGAGAAGCGAUGACAGCAACACGCAGCCCUUUCCUUGUUCGUAUUCCUCUUGCAGCCUCGGGGCAGAGCCAGGGCUGAGCCCCAGGAGCCCAGUCAGAAUCCAGAGGAUUUCCCUUUCAAGUCUGCAGAAUGUGGGGACUGUCACGUUGAGGCGUGUUGUUUUCUCCAAGCCAGCUGACCCGCCCAAGGACAGCCUGGAUGGGGACAUGUGCCAUCCGAGCUGGACGGCUUUGAUGUCGUGGAGCUGCAUCCAGCGGGGAACUUGUGACUUCACCUCUGGAAAAGCUGGAAGGUGAUUUCUAGUGUUUUCAAAAUACUGGGAAGCAGCAUGGGUCUUAGAUUACUUGCUCUGGGGGAGGUCAGCUGCCAUGCCAUGAAGACCCUUAAGCAACCUGUGGAAAGGGCCACAUGGACAGGGAUGGAGGCCUCCUGCUGUGAUCUCAGCAAUGGAUCAUCCAGUCCAGUCGAGCCUUCAGAUGACUGAAGGCCCUGCCACAUUCCGACGGCAACCUCACCAGAGAUCCUAAACCAAACCACCCAGCUAAGCUGUCCCUCAACUCCUGACCCAUAGAAACUGUGAGAUAAUAAACGUUUGUUUUCUUAA